GCCACCGGGGGAGGGGGUUCUGGAAUCCCCAGCCUCACAGAGACCCAGCCUCCCUCCCCCCAUCUCUCUGGUCUCUGUGUCUAAGGAGCCCUGGGGUGCUGGGUGUGAGUCACUUAGGUGGGCGUGUGUGGAGGGGUGUCUGGGGAGGACACUGAACAGGCUGAAGGGGUGUUCCGCUGUCCGGGGAGGUCUCUGGGAAGACAGGUUCUUCAAAGCAAAGCCUGUGAAGGUCUCAGAGGCCUCUCAGGGGAAGUCUCAAGGUCCCCAGUAAGGGAAAUGAGGUCUGGAGGGAGGAGGUUGUGGGUCCUCGGGCAGGGUUGUUGAGGGAGGGGGGUCUUCAGGUCCCCAGAAGCAAGGACCUCAGGCAGGAGUACUAGAGGAAGAGUGUGGAGGAAGCGGGCUCCUAAGCUGGGGGCCUCCGGGUAGGAAGGGCCUGGGCCCAUCCUGCCCUUGUGGCCCCCGGCUGCAGCCUCAGUGGCAUGGGGGUGAAACGGAGGCUCCAGAGUGGGGGCAUUCUGCUCAGCCUCGUGGCCAACGUCCUCAUGGUGCUCUCCACGGCCACCAACUACUGGACCCGCCAACAAGAGGGCCACAGUGGCCUGUGGCAGGAAUGCAACCAUGGCAUCUGCUCCAGCAUCCCCUGCCAGAGUGAGGCUCCACCCGCCCAGAUGUCAGAGGGCAUUUCAGACCCCCAGGGCUCGGGACACACAGCUGGGCCCAUGGCGAGACGCCACCCCUUCCACUCCGGGCUCAGUUGCAGCUGUCCCUGGUCGGCCGAGGCCGCCACGAACCCCGCCCCUCGACUUGUGGGCUUGUCCCCGACCCCCUCCCCGUCCCGGUAGCGGCAGUAACCGCAGGUCCUGAUGUGACCUCCAAGUCUCCGUCCAAACGCCUGACUCCUGGUCGGGGGGAGCUCGGCUCCUGGCCACACACCGGGUUGGGGGCAGGAGACAGGAGAGCUUCCGGUUGCGGCCAAACCCGUAGCGACUGGGGCGGUGCCCGCUCUCCCCAGCCACGCCCGCGGGGGCUGAUGCGCCCGCUCUCCCCAGCCACGCUGGCGGUGACUGGGGCGUGCAUGGUGCUGGCGGUGGGUGUCGGCGUGGUGGGCAUGGUGAUGGGACUGCGGAUUCGGUGCCACGAAGGCGAGUCGCUGCGGGGCCAGACCACGAGCGCCUUCCUCUUCCUCGGCGCGGGAAGAGGGUGGAGGAGACUGCCCAGAAGACCCUCACCCUAGAGGCUCCCCAGCUGCCCUCCCAGGAAACCCCGGGGACCUCUCAGGGACUCCCCAACACACUAACGACGCCCGCAGACCCAGCAAAGACCCCCUUGGAGCCCCAAACCCCAGUCCCCGGGGCCCUCCCGGCCAUCCGCCCCAGGGCCCACCUUCCUCUCCCCGCCCCGCGCCCCCGUCCCUCCAGGCUUCUGCUUUCUGCUGGCAGACAUGAUCAUGCAGAGCACCGACGCCAUCAGUGGAUUCCCCGUGUGUCUGUGACUGCAGCCUGCCUGGGGCAGAAUAAAGGAACGGCUUUUUUAGC